AUUUUGUUUAAGGGUCUAAACUCUCCUAAACUCCCUAACCUGAAUGUCCUUAAAACGACCUUGGGUAGAUCUUUCCAGGGCUGAUUUCUAUUAAUGUGGCUAUUUUUUUUUUCAGAUACGUUCAUGGCAAGACUUGAAGAAAUGUUAGAUUUUUGUGAGUCAUGUUAUUAGAAACAUUACUGUGCUGUUGGACACACAGAUCCAGGAAAUUUGGCAAAUCAUUCUGGAUCUCAAGGGGUGCCCUACAGCAAGCCAGCAGCAGAGAUCAGAAGGGCGCACUUUCCUUUUUAAUCUGGGACCGUGUUUUGCUUCUAGUGGCUGUUGAUGGCCCAUCUGAAAGGGCUUCACAGAGAAUCUGAAGUGACAAAGUAUUCUGGAGAAUUGUUGAGGGUUCUAUACCUAAGAGAAAUAGGGGACCCCCUAACUUCCUUCCUGAGAUGGGCUCCCUGGAUGGUACGGUCGUGUUUCAACAAGAGUGGCCAGUGGAUGAGACAAGAGUCACAUCCCAUAUCUGGAGCUGUGCCAUUUUGAGCGUAGAGAUCUUUCUCUUCCAGUCAAAGGGACUUUUUACGUCCACACUGGUAAUCAGUAGGUUCUAAUGGUUGACCUUGAAGACGCAAACAAUAAGGUCUGCAGCAGUAACUUCAUAUUUAAUUGGAAAGAGUAGACAAUCCCAAAGGACUUAGCAUAAAAGAGCUGGUUACUGGUCCAAUGUUAAGCCAUUUGCUGGGUGUCCCCCAGACCCUGUUUGGUGGAGACUGUGUAGGUAAUAAAAGGAAUAGUCACGCCUCCUCUUUGAUUUCC
rnacentral:lncRNA from 1 species